rnacentral:rRNA from 1 species
UCGGGAAUUUUGGGCAAUGGGCGAAAGCCUGACCCAGCAACGCCGCGUGAGGGAUGAAGUAUUUCGGUAUGUAAACCUCGAAAGAAUGGGAAGAAUAAAUGACGGUACCAUUUAUAAGCUCCGGCUAACUACGUGCCAGCAGUCGCGGUAAUACGUAGGGAGCAAGCGUUGUUCGGAUUUACUGGGCGUAACGGGCGCGUAGGCGGCGCGGUAAGUCACUUGUGAAAUCUCUGAGCUUAACUCAGAACGGCCAAGUGAUACUGCUGUGCUAGAGUGCGGAAGAGGCAACCGGAAUUCUUGGUGUAGCGGUGAAAUGCGUAGAUAUCAAGAGGAACACCUGAGGCGAAGGCGGGUUGCUGGGCCGACACUGACGCUGAUGCGCGAAAGCCAGGGGAGCAAACG